AGCGUAGGUGGCCUAACAUGUCAACUGUGAAAACCCGGAGCUCAACUCCGGACUUGCAGUUGAAACUGGUAGGCUUGAGGACGGUAGAGGAAGACGGAACUGCCAUUGUAGGGGUAAAAAUCCUUAGAUAUUGGCAGGAACGCCGGUGACGAAGGUGGUUUUCUGGGCCGGUUCUGACACUGAUGCUCGAAAGCCAGGGGAGCGAACG
rnacentral:rRNA from 1 species